rnacentral:rRNA from 1 species
GAGUUUGAUCCUGGCUCAGGACGAACGCUGGCGGCGCGCCUAACACAUGCAAGUCGAACGAGAGAGAAGGAGCUUGCUUCUUCGAUCGAGUGGCGAACGGGUGAGUAACGCGUGAGGAACCUGCCUCAAAGAGGGGGACAACAGUUGGAAACGACUGCUAAUACCGCAUAAGCGCACGAGGAGACAUCUCCUUGUGUGAAAAACUCCGGUGGUACAGGAUGGGCCCGCGUCUGAUUAGCUGGUUGGCAGGGUAACGGCCUACCAAGGCAACGAUCAGUAGCCGGUCUGAGAGGAUGAACGGCCACAUUGGAACUGAGACACGGUCCAAACUCCUACGGGAGGCAGCAGUGGGGAAUAUUGCACAAUGGGGGAAACCCUGAUGCAGCAACGCCGCGUGAGUGAAGAAGUAUUUCGGUAUGUAAAGCUCUAUCAGCAGGGAAGAUAAUGACGGUACCUGACUAAGAAGCUCCGGCUAAAUACGUGCCAGCCGCCGCGGUAAUUC